CCAGACUCCUACGGGAGGCAGCAGUGGGGAAUAUUGGACAGUGGACCAAGAGUCUGAUCCAGCAAUUCUGUGUGCACGAUGAAGUUUUUCGGAAUGUAAAGUGCUUUCAGUUGGGAAGAAAAAAAUGACGGUACCAACAGAAGAAGUGACGGCUAAAUACGUGCCAGCAGCCGCGGUAAUACGUAUGUCACAAGCGUUAUCCGGAUUUAUUGGGCGUAAAGCGCGUCUAGGUGGUUAUAUAAGUCUGAUGUGAAAAUGCAGGGCUCAACUCUGUAUUGCGUUGGAAACUGUGUAACUAGAGUACUGGAGAGGUAAGCGGAACUACAAGUGUAGAGGUGAAAUUCGUAGAUAUUUGUAGGAAUGCCGAUGGGGAAGCCAGCUUACUGGACAGAUACUGACGCUGAAGCGCGAAAGCGUGGGUAGCAAACAGGAUUAGAUACCCUGGUAGUCCACGCCGUAAACGAUGAUUACUAGGUGUUGGGGGUCGAACCUCAGCGCCCAAGCAAACGCGAUAAGUAAUCCGCCUGGGGAGUACGCCGGCAACGGUGAAACUCAAAGGAAUUGACGGGGGCCCGCACAAG
rnacentral:rRNA from 1 species